rnacentral:rRNA from 1 species
GAUGAACGCUGGCGGCGUGCCUAAUACAUGCAAGUCGAGCGAACAGACGAGGAGCUUGCUCCUCUGACGUUAGCGGCGGACGGGUGAGUAACACGUGGAUAACCUACCUAUAAGACUGGGAUAACUUCGGGAAACCGGAGCUAAUACCGGAUAAUAUAUUGAACCGCAUGGUUCAAUAGUGAAAGACGGUUUUGCUGUCACUUAUAGAUGGAUCGGCGCCGCAUUAGCUAGUUGGUAAGGUAACGGCUUACCAAGGCAACGAUGCGUAGCCGACCUGAGAGGGUGAUCGGCCACACUGGAACUGAGACACGGUCCAGACUCCUACGGGAGGCAGCAGUAGGGAAUCUUCCGCAGUGGGCGAAAGCCUGACGGAGCAACGCCGCGUGAGUGAUGAAGGUCUUCGGAUCGUAAAACUCUGUUAUUAGGGAAGAACAAAUGUGUAAGUAACUAUGCACGUCUUGACGGUACCUAAUCAGAAAGCCACGGCUAACUACGUG